rnacentral:rRNA from 1 species
GACGUAGGGGGCGAGCGUUGUCCGGAAUGACUGGGCGUAAAGGGCGUGUAGGUGGCAUCGUACGUGGGGCCAGAAAGCCGGCGGCUCAACCGUCGGAGCGGUCCCAAACGGCGGCGCUGGAGGGCAGGAGAGGUGCGCGGAAUUCCCGGUGGAGCGGUGAAAUGCGUAGAGAUCGGGAAGAACACCCGUGGCGAAGGCGGCGCACUGGCCUGGCCCUGACACUGAGGCGCGACAGCGUGGGGAGCGAACGGG